GACGAACGCUGGCGGCGUGCUUAACACAUGCAAGUCGAACGGAAAGGUCCUGCUUUUGUGGGGUGCUCGAGUGGCGAACGGGUGAGUAACACGUGAGUAAACUGCCCUUGACUUUGGGAUAACUUCAGGAAACUGGGGCUAAUACCGGAUAGGAGCUCCUGCUGCAUGGUGGGGGUUGGAAAGUUUCGGCGGUUGGGGAUGGUCUCGCGGCUUAUCAGCUUGUUGGUGGGGUAGUGGCUUACCAAGGCUUUGACGGGUAGCCGGCCUGAGAGGGUGACCGGCCACAUGGGGACUGAGAGACGGCCCAGACUCCUACGGGAGGCAGCAGGGGGGAAUAUUGCACAAUGGGCGGAAGCCUGAGGCAGCAACGCCGCGUGCGGGAUGACGGCCUUCGGGUUGUAAACCGCUUUCGCCGGUGACGAAGCGUGAGUGACGGUAAUGGGUAAAGAAGCACCGGCUAACUACGUG
rnacentral:rRNA from 1 species